UACGUAGGGUGCGAGCGUUGUCCGGAAUUAUUGGGCGUAAAGAGCUCGUAGGCGGCUUGUCGCGUCGGAUGUGAAAGCCCGGGGCUUAACUCCGGGUCUGCAUUCGAUACGGGCAGGCUAGAGUUCGGUAGGGGAGAUCGGAAUUCCUGGUGUAGCGGUGAAAUGCGCAGAUAUCAGGAGGAACACCGGUGGCGAAGGUGGAUCGCUGGGCCGAUACUGACGCUGAGGAGCGAAAGCGUGGGGAGCGAACAGG
rnacentral:rRNA from 1 species